CCCGCUGGCCCGACCUGGUGUGAAGAGCGGUGCAGAGGCGACGCGGGCUGGGGACUCCGGGUGGACCCGAGACCCCGCGAGGAGGCGUCACUGUCCCCAAGUCCCCAAGACGCCUCCCCUGCCCUCCUGAGGUUCCCACUCAUGUCCGGGCGACAGAGAAGAAAGCCACGUGUGAUGGGCAACUUCGUCCCAGAAAGGGAUACGAGCGGGAAUGGAAAUAAAAAGAGUAACGGGACAAAGCAUGAUCACAGGCAGAUGGGCAAUCCCGGAGGGCCUCUCUAAGGAGACGACUUUUGAGCUCAGACCUGGGUAAUGAGAGAAAACCAGCCUGGGAAGAUCCCCAGGGAGAGCGUUCCAUAAGGAGGUGCAAUUGCCAGGCCCCUGCCUGGAAGAGUUGACCGGAGCGAGGGGGUGAGUGAGAAAAUAGGCCUGGUGCGGUGGCUCACGCCUGUAAUCCCAACACUUUGGGAGGCCGAGGCGGGCGGAUCACCUGAGUCCAGGAGUUCGAGAGGAAAACUCACCAUCAUGCCCAUUAUGUUGAUUCUCUGAAUAAGCAGUCCACAGAGACAGAAGAGUUCACACCAAUGAAUAAUCAUUCAAGCAAUAUUACUUACUUGCAUUACAAUAACGCUGACAUGUUAGAGGAGGAGUACUAGAACAUCGAAGUUGACAAGGUUUGCAGUCAUGCAACAAACUGUCAAAAUAUUCAUUUUGGGAGCACUGCCGAGCCAUCUGCAACAUGAUCACAAAAAGAAAACAAGGGAGCUACACAAAGAACAGCCUGGAAGAACAAGUAAUAUCUCUUCAAGAAUUCCGGAGCAAAUGCAGCAAGAGCAGCUAGAAGGUCGAGAACUAUGAACUUGGCGUGCUUCGUGGGUUCUUACGGGGCUGUCUGUUUCUUCGCGGCAGCUAAGGAUUUGAAUACCACAUCUAAUACAAGUUUCUAAGUUUGAGUCGUGGAUGGGGGCUCUUGGGAGAUGCUGGGUGCUGUGCUGCGUGUUUUGCAACGAGCUGAUCUUCUCAUCAAUCCGGUAAGGGCUUGAGCAAUUCACUUUCCCUCCCUGACUCUUGGUGACCUGUGCUGUGAAAUAGAGAGAGACACCUACCACCUGCUGUCAGAGCCCAUCAAGGUAAGAACACAAGAGGGAGGUGCCCAUCAACAUGGGUCCUCUUCAUGGAGGAGGGGCAGAGGAAAGAUUCAUGUAUGAUUAAUGACUGGCGGCAAUUUCCUGCCUGCCUUUGAAAUGAAUCAAAAAUAAGUGAAAAAGCAUGGCUGAGGCAAAGCAUUUGGGUCUGCAGGGACUCUGCAGUGGACCAGAGGAGGCCUGGGGCUGGCUGAGUCAUCUAAGUGGGUGAUCGGUUUUUUCCUGUUUUCAAAACGAGAGCCAGGUUCCAGAGGGGAUAGGUGGAGUGGGAUUAAACGUUUCCCGCCAAGCAUCCUCGCAGUGGAAGCCUUCCCAAGCAGCAUCAUUGGGUAAAUUUCCGUUGCCACUAUCUGAAA